rnacentral:lncRNA from 1 species
AAUGAUAUUGGCAUGAGCAUAGACGAUGCCGCCAUUAUCAGUGUAGAUGACAACAUUAGCUUUGUAUCCGUCAUUGAAAAGACGAUCCCACAUAUCUUUUGUGGCUGUGGGAACGCAGGUGUGCUCUGGAGCUACAUCGUUACGGUAUCUUUUUUGGUGACCAUCAGAUUUUGAAGGAAGAGGUGGAGGGAUCGGUACAGAAGAAGAAUCAGCAGCUUUUUGAAGAUCAACACAAGCCAUCACCAUUUCUCCUUUUUAUCUUUUCCCUCCCUGAAGCAAAACCAAUUGAAACUUUUGAUUAUAUGUUAAAUACAGAGAUCUUUGCUUUUACUUCACACAAUAAAAAUUCUAUGAAUAAUCCAUUAUCAUUUCACAAAUGUUUUUAAAACCUUUAUUUACGAUCAAGAAUCAUAACAUAUCUUUGAAACUUUUUUCAAGAUUCCAUGAAACAGUUUAACCAUAAUCGUUUUUUCCUCACGCAAUACAGAAAAACAAACAAUGGUCGAGAUCAAACACUAGAUAAUUCAAAACAGAUGAAUAGAGAAAAUGUUAAGAAACAAGAACAUACCUCCUUCAAACGAGCUAAGCUAGAAUCUUGAUUCUGACCGAACCGUUAGAGCAAGUUCAAUCAAAAUUAACUCAAUUAUGAGAAUAUAUAUAAAAGUCUCCUCCUUCCUCUAACCAGCAGGAGAAGAAACUCUAUAGAGAAGCUUCAAAACAGAUCACAGAUCUCUUCUCAUUAUAUAAACACAAACACACUCUCGAAACAAGGGAAAGCACACGAGUGUCACCACGGAGGUCUCCUCCUCCUCCACUCCAUACGCCACCUCCACCUCCACCUCCUCCUCCUCCUCAGAUACGGCCAAGAGAUUUCCAGAUACCUCGAAAACUCAGCAAUCCAGAAGCAACGAAGCCAGACGAUCAAUCAAGAAAACUAGCAUUCAAGACUCCAAGUCCUCAAUCGAAAGCUGUUGAAGAGGCCAAAAGUGUAUCAGCUGACGGGGACACGGAUCCAAGCAAGCCAAAGUUGAAGCCACUCCACUGGGACAAAGUACGCGCGAGCUCUGAUCGUGCCACAGUUUGGGACCAGCUCAAAUCAAGCUCAUUCCAGUGCGUAUUACUGUCUUCUGCAUUGUUGUGAAACAUACGUUUGAAUUUUCCGUUUUCGAUAACUAUUUGAAUCUUUGUGGUAUUAUUAAACAGAGUGAACGAAGAUCGGAUGGAGCAUCUGUUUGGUUGCAGUUCAGCAAGUUCAGCUCCAAAGGAACCUGUGAGAAGAUCAGUGAUGCCUCCAGCUGAGAAUGAGAACAGAGUACUUGAUCCAAAGAAAUCUCAGAACAUUGCAAUCCUCUUGAGAGCACUGAACGUAACUCGUGAGGAGGUGUCAGAAGCUCUUUUAGAUGGUAAGUUGUUGUCUCCCACUUGAUUCAUUACUUACGGUAAAGUUACCUUUUGCACAAAGUAACGUUUGGCCUUAACCUAGAUCGUUAUAAGUUAGUAAGCUAUUUGUAUUUAGGUUCCUCUGUUCAACGCAUAACCUGUUCUUAGUUUUGAUGCCUUGAUGGGCUAGUGGUGAUCUUUCUAGUAGCAGGAAUAGUAAUAGAGAUGCUCAUUAGAGGUACUGGUGGUGAAAGGAUAAGUAAUACUAAAAAGGCUUAGGCCACAAGUUAUAAUCAUUGCAAAGAACAAUGACAUAUGAAAUGAUUUUCUCUGCUUUAUAUUGCUUCUUAAUGAUUGCACAACUUAUGAAUUUUCUUUUAAAAAGGUCAUCCGUUGAAUUUUACAGGAGUAGCAAGCAUUAUGUAUAUAUACUUGACAUUCAUUAAGAUUCUCAAAACAUAAAUUGAUUUCUCGUUAUGCAUUGUUCUCUGAGAUGCAAGAAAGCAUUUGGUCUCUAUUAUUGUUGUUUAAUUAAAAAUUUGUGGCACGGUAAUAGGUAAUCCCGAGAGCUUAGGUGCAGAACUUCUAGAGACUUUGGUGAAGAUGGCUCCAACAAAGGAAGAAGAGAUAAAACUCCGAGAGUACUCUGGCGAUGUCUCAAAACUAGGAACAGCUGAAAGAUUCCUUAAAACCAUUCUCGAUAUCCCUUUUGCAUUCAAACGAGUUGAAGCAAUGUUGUAUAGAGCCAGUUUUGAUGCAGAAGUCAAGUAUCUAAGGAACUCUUUCCAGACACUAGAGGUUAGUUAGUCACUCACUAAAUGAUUCAAUCUCUCAAACGAAUUUGUCUUGAUAGUCUCAGUCCCUUAUUUGCUUGUGUAGGACGCAAGCUUAGAACUAAAAGCAAGCAGGCUAUUCCUUAAGCUCCUCGAAGCUGUUCUGAUGACAGGAAACAGAAUGAACGUUGGCACUAAUCGUGGAGAAGCCAAAGCCUUCAAACUCGAUACUCUUUUAAAACUCGUGGACAUAAAAGGAGUUGACGGCAAAACCACAUUGCUUCACUUUGUCGUCCAAGAAAUCACAAAAUCCGAGGCAACCACAACAACAGUAGAUGAAACCAUCGUCCAUGAAAACAAAGACGGUUUCAGAAAGCAAGGAUUACAAGUCGUGGCUGGACUGAGUAGAGAUCUGGCAAACGUAAAAAAAUCAGCCGGAAUGGAUUCCGACGUGCUGAGUGGGUAUGUGACAAAGCUAGAAACGGGUCUUGAGAAACUCCGAGCUUUUGUAAAGACAGAGAUAACAACAACAACAACUCCAGGGAAGUUCUUUGAUUCGAUGAAAACGUUUCUCAAAGAGGCCGAAGAAGAGAUUCGAAAGAUCAAAGGAGGAGAAAGAAAAGCUCUGUCAAUGGUCAAAGAAGUAACGGAGUAUUUCCACGGGGACGCAGCAAAAGAAGAAGCACAUCCUUUGAGAAUCUUCAUGGUCGUGAGAGAUUUUCUCGGAGUUCUUGAUAACGUUUGUAAAGAAGUUAAGACGAUGCAGGAAAUGUCGUCAGCGAUGGGUUCGGCUUCAGCGAGAUCGUUCAGGAUUUCAGCAACAGCUUCGUUACCGGUUCUUCAUAGGUAUAAAUCAAGACAAGAAGAUACAAGCUCAGAUAAUGAACACAGCAGCAACUCUUCUACGUGAUGAAACACACAAAACAAAAGGCUGUACAGUUUCUUACACCGGAGACAAGGGAUUAAGUUGGUGUUUCUCAAACCGGAGGAGAUAUUGAGUUGGUUAACUCGGAGAAUAUGGGCCGGUUCAUGAAGGAACAAACACUACAAUGAUCAAAUUUUCGUUAACAAAUAAGUUUCUUUGUUAAUUUUUCUUUUUUCGUCGGCAGUUGAAAUAUAGAUAGAUAUAUGUAUAAAUAUAUCCUAAUAUCUUGAGGUUAUUAGUGGAGAUUUUGUUUAUUUUGGACGUUAUAAUCUUUAUCCAAUUCAAAAAGUUAGUAGUCGUAUGACCACAUAAGUAGGAAUUAUGAGAUAGGUUAGAAUCGUGUUUACAUCUUUUGUUUCUUGUUGUUUUCUUGUUCUAAAGGAAUCAGAAUCCAAUACGAAUGUACAUAAUAAAAGGAGAUUUGUAAACGAAACGUACGUACAUACAAAUGUAUGGUUGUAAUAUGAGUGCACGGAUUUGAAUUUGAGACGAUGGAUGUUUCCAACAUUAUUUAAUGAAAUACGAACAUGUGAUGUGAGUGAGACCGAUUCUUCUGUACAGCUUGUACCACACGUCUCUCUUUCUUACUGCAUUUGUCCCCUUGUGCGUCACUUUUUUUCUCCCACCACGAUCUUUUCGUUGCAGUUUCCCAUUUUUGGAAGUAUAAAAAAUAACAAAACUAAGUAGGGUCGUAUUAAACUUUGGUAGAUUCCUGCUUUUAUUUUUGUCGUGUUUCUUUCUCAACAAGACACUGAGUUAAAAACAACAAAACCACUAAACCGAAACGAGUAAUCAAGCUCUAUAUAAAUAAACCGGAUCUAACAUUCAUAACCAACCAACUUAUAGAUUUUGACCACCAAAUGUGAUUUUUCUUUCAUUUCAUUUUAUUAUGUUACACUUUUUUUCAGGGAGAAGAUCACAAGAAACGCUUAAAACUCGCCCUUCUUGGGACUGAAGAAAACGAUUAAGACAUGGUGGAGGAAGAGCUGGUCACGGGUAGAAAGAAAGGAGAGGCUCCAAUUUUCUUAGAACCUAACACAUUCUUCACCAGAAGUUUCCAUCUAACCUCAUCCUUCUUGCUCUGUUUCUCCAUCUUCUCCUUAAAGUUUCUGCAUAGUGGGACUCGACACUGAUCAGAAUCAGCGCAAACACGUGAAUGCAACUCGAGGAGUUGCCACAUUCUCUUGCAAUGCACGCAACCUCCCGGAACCCUAAGCUUGCAUCCAGCGAAAUGCCUGAUCAGCGAUUCCAACCCUUUGCAAGCUUCGUAGUGACACGUGGCGUGGUUCGGUUUCAAAUCUUUAUCGUGUGGUCCUAUAGUUUUACACCCGUCUCUGCAUAUAUGAACAAGCGCUUCCAUCGCUUCGUAUAGCUGCGAGUAUAUCCUCUCUUCAUUGCGUUUUCUGAUCCUCUCUUUCCGAGCCUGCACAUAUGUUUAACAACGUUUUAGAAAAAAAAUGGUAACGAGCCAGAGUUGAAAAAUGUAAUUAAUUACUUACGUUUUCUUCGAUGAAGACAGAGUCUCUAAGUUCUUUCUCGAGAAAGGGAUGGCUUUUCUUCAUAGCUGUCCAUGCUUCUGUCGCGUAAAGCUCCUUGAAGUGUUUCAUGAUCAUACGGUGAGAUAUAACGCUGAGCCGAGGGAAAUCACAUAGCAGGGCAAGCUGGAAGACGUCGAUUACGUUCUCAGUGGUGAGCAAACCAUGUUCUAGAUGCCAUUCGCAGACCCGUUUCAGCUGAGGAACCACGUACGCGUGAGACAGAAGCAGCAAGUGCAUGAUGUACUCAUUCAUCUCUUCUUUCUUAUAGCUACAAAAAAAGAAAGAAAGUCAGGUUUAAUAAAAACUAAGAGAAUGUUAAAAGAAGAGGUAAAUAUUAUAGAGAAGUGUACCAAGAAGAGUAGAGGAAACGAAUGAAAACUCGGACAGCUUCAUGAGGGACGCCACGGAUUGAGAUUGUAUACCACUUUCCAUGUUUUUUGGCUUGCUUCAACAUGCCUUUGAUCACACUUGAAGCAGUCCCCUGUUAAAUUAAAAACCAACAAAAAAAAAGACUUAAAGUCUAACCUAGAGAUCCAAACAAUACAAGGAUCAAUAUAAGAUUUCAAAGGAGAGAGCAUUACAAUGAUAUUGGCAUGAGCAUAGACGAUGCCGCCAUUAUCAGUGUAGAUGACAACAUUAGCUUUGUAUCCGUCAUUGAAAAGACGAUCCCACAUAUCUUUUGUGGCUGUGGGAACGCAGGUGUGCUCUGGAGCUACAUCGUUACGGUAUCUUUUUUGGUGACCAUCAGAUUUUGAAGGAAGAGGUGGAGGGAUCGGUACAGAAGAAGAAUCAGCAGCUUUUUGAAGAUCAACACAAGCCAUCACCAUUUCUCCUUUUUAUCUUUUCCCUCCCUG